rnacentral:rRNA from 1 species
UACGUAGGUGGCAAGCGUUGUCCGGAUUUACUGGGCGUAAAGAGCGUGCAGGCGGUCGUUCAAGUCGCGUGUGAAAGCCCCCGGCUCAACUGGGGAGGGUCACGCGAUACUGAUCGACUCGAAGGCAGGAGAGGGAAGUGGAAUUCCCGGUGUAGUGGUGAAAUGCGUAGAUAUCGGGAGGAACACCAGUGGCGAAGGCGACUUCCUGGCCUGUUCUUGACGCUGAGGCGCGAAAGCGUGGGGAGCGAACAGG